CAGUAGCCGCGGUAAAACGGAGGGGGCUAGCGUUGUUCGGAAUUACUGGGCGUAAAGCGCACGUAGGCUGCUUUGUAAGUCAGAGGUGAAAGCCCGGGGCUCAACCCCGGAUGUGCCUUUGAGACUGCAGAGCUAGAAUCGCGGAGAGGUGAGUGGAAUUCCGAGUGUAGAGGUGAAAUUCGUAGAUAUUCGGAAGAACACCAGUGGCGAAGGCGGCUCACUGGACGACUGUUGACGCUGAGGUGCGAAAGCGUGGGGAGCAAACAGGAUUAGAUACCCCCGUAGUCCCUGUCUCUUAUAC
rnacentral:rRNA from 1 species